rnacentral:sRNA from 1 species
AUGAGGCUCCCAAUCCUGUUCACUGCCCUGCUCUGGUUCCGGGGUUUUCUGGCAGAGGUAAGGUGGGCAUGGGGGGGCAGGCCAGCGGGUGGGGUCCCCACUCUCCAGGGCACAUCCAGAUCUCCCAACGCUCCUCGGGGCCCCACAGCUGGUCUGCAUUAGGCGAGGAGAGGCCACUCCCUUUCCACCAGGGCCAGCACGUGGCGCAGCGAGCGAGAACAGAUUGCUCCAGCCUGCCUGGAGAACAGAUGCGCCGUGGGCAUGCUUCCGGGAGAUGCCCCUUGGCCAUGUGUGGGGCUGUCAGACACGGCAACAGAGCCUUCUCUUGGAUCCUGGCCCUGCCCCACCACCCAAAGUGCUAGGAUUACAGGCGUCAGCCACUGUGCCCGGCCUCUUCCUUCUUUAAUCUGGUGUCUGAGGAGUUUUGUCUGCAGCUCGUCCUGCUACAGCAUCAGGAAGAGGAGGAAGCAUGCCCCUCCCUGGAAGGGAGUCCAGGCAGGGAGAGUGCAGCCCCGUCAACUGUCCAUGGACUGCAGCUCCACAUUCCGGGAGCCCAUCCAGCCUGGAGGCCUCAUGGGGUGAUGCCCCCGGGGAGCAGGAUGGCUACUGCCUUCUCCUCUACCACCUAGAAUCCCAGACAUUGGCACAUAAUAUCUCCAUGCCCCUGGGCACCCUGUCCUACAAUUUUGGCAACCUCUUGCCAGGUAUUGAGUAUAUUUUGGAAGUUAACACCUGGGCUGGCAACCUCCAAGCAACAACCAGCCUCCAUCAGUGGACAGCCCCUGUGUCUCCAGAUCACCUGGUACUGCAUACCCUGGGCACCAGUGCCUUGCAAGCCUCCUGGAAUGGCUCCAAGGGGGCUGCCUGGCUCCACUUGGUGCUCACAGACCUCCUAGGUGGCACCAAUCUGACUGCAGUAUUCAGACGGGGAGUCUCCCAUCACACCUCCCUUCACCUGUCUCAGGGCCCCCCUGUGAGCUGACGCUCAGUGCUGCUGCGAGGCCCCAUCGGGCAGUGGGGCCCAAUGCCACAGAGUGGACCUAUCCCUCUGCCCACCCUCGACCUGGUUUGACUCCCCUGCCCGCCAAGCUCUGGGCAAGCUGGAAGGUAGGGCCAGGUGUGCAGGAUGGCUUCCUGCUGAAGUUAAGUGGGCCAGUGGAGAAGAAUAUCACUCUAGGCCCUGAGGCCCACAAUGUCACAUUCCCAGGGCCCCUGCCCACUGGGCACUAUGCUCUGGAGCUGAAGGUCCUAGCGGGGCCAUAUGACGCCUGGGCCCAGGCCAGUGCCUGGCUGGACGAUUCCGCAGCCAAGUCCAGACAAGGCAGUGGUGCCAAGCGGCAGCUGGAUGGGCUCGAGGCCUCCAAGGAGCCCAGGAGACGGGCCCUGCUCUACACAGAGGGAAACCUGGGCCUCCUUGGAAACAUCUCUGUGCCACCUGGUGCCACCCACAUCACCUUCUAUGGGCCAGUGCCUGGGGCCCGCUACUGUGUGGACAUUGCCUCAUCUCUGGGAAUCAUCACUUAGAGCCUCAUGGGCCACAAAAGCCCGCUUGCCCCUCCUCUGGUAAAUGUGACGAGUGAAGAUCCCACCCAGCUCUGGGCAUCCUGGGUCCAUGCCCCCAGGGGCCGAGACAGCUACCCGGUGACCCUGUACCGGGCAGGCACCAGCGCCGUCGGAGCCAAGGUGGCCAGCACAAGCUUUUCGAGUCUGACUCCAGGCACGAAGUACGAGGUGGAGGUUGUCACGCAGGCUGGGCCCCACCACAUUGCAGCAGCCAACACCUCUGGCUGGACCCGUGAGGCAUGGGGAAGGCAGCGAUGCAGGAGAGCCCUGCACACACCCAGUGAGUUGGUGUCCAUGCAUGCGAGCACCGCUGUGGUCAACCUGGCCUGGGCCAGCAGCCCCUUGGGGCAGGGGAUGUGCUACACCCAACUCUCAGAGGCGGGGCACCUCUCCUGGGAGCACCCUCUGGUGCCAGGCCAAGCCCACCUCAUCCUGAGGGGCCUCACACCUGGAUGCAACCUCUCCCUGUCAGUGCUGUGCCAGGCAGGGCCGCUGCAGGCGUCCACUCAGCGCGUGGUACUGCUUGUUGGUAUGCUGACGUCAGCGGCGGAGAGGACGAAGGUGCCCUGAGAUGCAGGUCUGAUUCAGGUGGGCAGCACUGCCCGCUCGACUCUGAGCCACUGCUCUCUCCAGAUGGAUGCUGCACCCACUCUGCUCGGGGUUAUGCCCCUUACGCUUCUCCAGGCUUUUAGCAGCCUGUGCCCAUGGUUUUUAGUUUCUGUCUCUAGUAAUAAGCAGACAAGAGGGAUGAGGAAGGGGCUUUACUGGCCCAACCAGAAAUGGAAACUAAGAACCCAUGACUGCCUCUUCUCUCCCCUGGACACCCCUGCCGGGGAGCACUUGCUAUCUGAGUGUCUAUUGCUUGCGACCCAGAUUGCUGGGAGGGGCUUCACCUUAUUUGCCUGCCCUUCCCCAACAAAAGGUCCUGUUUCUCUGCCCAGGUUCAGCGUUGCAGCCUUUACCAGAGCCCCGGGCCGGUGUCUCCCCGGCAUCAGUGCCCCUGCCGGGAGUGGAGGGCCUCGUGGUGGGCUGUGUCCUCACCAUCUGUGCUGUGCUGGGCCUGCUGUGCUGGAGGCGGGUGAAGGGGCAGAGGGCAGGGAAGAAUCCAUUUUCCCAAGAGCUGACAGUUUAUAACCUGCGGUGGACCCACCGGCCCAUCCCUAUCCACAGCUUCAGGCAGAGCUAUGAGGCCAAGAGUGCUCACGCGCACCGGGCUUUCUUUUUGCAAUUCGAGGAGCUGAAGGAGGUGGGCAAGGAGCAGCCCAGACUGGAGGCUGAGUAUGCUGCCAACACCACCAAGAACCAUUACCCACACGUGCUACCCUCUUUCACUCUCUGCAGACGACCACUCCAGUGUCAGGCUGACCCAGCUGGAGGGAGAGCCUCAUUCUGACGACAUCAACGCCAACUUCAUCCCAGGCUACACCCACCCACCCACAGGAAUUCAUUGCCUCUCAGGCGCCUCUCAAGAAAACACUGGAGAACUUCUGGCGGCUGGUGCGGGAGUAGCAGGUUGUCCAGCAACAGCAGCGGAGGGUGGAGUAACUGCAAUUCACCACCUGACCCGACCACAGCAUCCUCAAGGCCCCCAGCUCCCUGCUUACCUUUAUGGAGCUGGUACAGGAACAGGCAAGGGCCACCCAGGGCAUGGGACCCAUCCUGGUGCCCUGCAGGAGGGCAGCUCCUCAGGGGCUGUCCCUGCAGUGUGGGCAUGGGCCAGACAGGCACCUUCGUGGCCCUGUUGAGGCUGCUGCAGCAGCUGGAGGAGGAGCAGAUGGUAGACGUGUUCCAUGCUGUGUAUGCAUUCUAGAUGCACGGGCCCCUCAUGAUCCAGACCCUGGCCCCCAUCGCUCCUCGCUGAGCAGCCUGAUGCCCUUCCCCCUGGCAGAGCCAGUACGUCUUCCUGCACAGCUGCCUACUGAACAAGAUUCUGGAAGGGCCCUUCAACAUCUCUGAGUCUUGGCCCAUCUCUGUGAUGAACUUCGCACAGGCGUGUGCCAAGAGGGCAGCCAAUGCCAACGCUGGCUUCUUGAAGGAGUACGAGCUCUUGCUGCAGGCCAUCAAGGACGAGACUGGCUCUUCCGCACCCCUGCCUGGCUAUGAGCAGGACAGCCCCUUCUCCUGUACCUCAUCCAACUCUAGGUCAGUUGCAGCAAGGGUGCGACCCAGCUGGGCACCUUCCUGGCCAUGGAGCAGCUGCUGCAGCAGGCAGGGUCUGAGUGCACCGUGGAAGUCUUUAACGUGGCCCUGCAGCAGUCUCAGGCCUGUGACCUUAUGACCCCAACGCUGAAGCAGUAUAUCUACCUCUACAAUUGUCUGAACAGCGCACUGGCAGACGGGCUGCCCCUGAGUCGGCACUGGUCACUGUGCAGGAGAGGUUUGUGCCCUGUAGGAUGGGGACAGCAUUCCUGA